rfam:Stegodyphus mimosarum contig79745, whole genome shotgun sequence.
GCCUUCGUGGUGUAAUGGUCAGCACAUUCAGCGCGUAUUCGAGAGGUCCAAGGUUCGAGUCCCGGCAAGGGCA